AGAAUGAACGCUGGCGGCGUGCUUAACACAUGCAAGUCGCGCGCGAAAGGGGCUUCGGCCCCCGGUAGAGCGGCGAACGGGUGAGUAACACGUGGGUAAUCUGCCUGGGAGCGGGGGAUAACCUGGGGAAACUCGGGCUAAUACCGCAUACGUCCGUCGAACUUUGGUUCGGCGAGGAAAGGUGGCCUAUGCUUGCAAGCCACCACUCCCAGAGGAGCCCGCGCCUGAUUAGCUAGUUGGUAGGGUAACGGCCUACAAGGCGACGAUCAGUA
rnacentral:rRNA from 1 species